rnacentral:misc_RNA from 1 species
UCUCGGCUUAUCACCGGCAGUCCCCCUAGAGUGCCCAACUGAAUGAUGGCAACUAAGGGCGAGGGUUGCGCUCGUUGCGGGACUUAACCCAACAUCUCACGACACGAGCUGACGACAGCCAUGCAGCACCUGUGUUCCGGUUCCCUUUCGGGCACACCCUGAUCUCUCAAGGCUUCCGGACAUGUCAAGGGUAGGUAAGGUUUUUCGCGUUGCAUCGAAUUAAACCACAUGCUCCACCGCUUGUGCAGGCCCCCGUCAAUUUCUUUGAGUUUUAACCUUGCGGCCGUACUCCCCAGGCGGAUGACUUAAUGCGUUAGCUGCGCCACCGAAACCCUAAGGGCCCCGACAGCUAGUCAUCAUCGUUUACGGCGUGGACUAC